AAAUUACUCCCCAAAACCAAUCCCCUUCCUCCUGUUGUCCCCAUCCCUACGCCCCAUGGUGAUUUGGCAUUUGGAUGGCGGGCCCCCUGGCACCAAGCGGCGCCGUCGACAUUGGGUUGCCUCCAUUCGGUUCCAUUAGCGCCGCCGACAUCUGGAGGACAAUUCAAGCAGCAGAUUAGGAGGAUUACAUCUACCGGCGGCAGCCAUCCACCUCCUCCCCCAUCACGGCUCCUGUCGUGGUUCCCUGUACUCCCCCGUCGCGGUUCCUGUGGCACCGUCCACCCUGUCACGGCGCCCGACCUCUACCCCACUGUCGCGGCUCCCGUGGCGCUCGUGCAUCUGGUUGCUGUGGCUUUGAGCAGCGGGAAGGGGAUCCAAUCGGCGACGGCGGUUCAAACGCAGUAACCUAAUCAAUUUUACAGUUCACGAGGAGAACCAGGAUGGGGAUUGGGCAUGCAAGAUGAGCACCACUGAACCUGGAGAACAAGCAGUCAAGCACAGCCCACAAACCUUACGCCACAGCCACCAGCUACCACAACAAUUGACCCUCAAGGAUACCCCGCCUCCUCUCUCUAAGACCACACCAAAUUUGUUUCUUUUGCAGAUCCAGACUACUAAAAGAUCGACAUCUGACGUGUAUUUCAGGGUACAUAAGAGGCCGUCAAUGAUGCAAGCAGGCGAUGAUGGUGCACUAAUCUCCAAUUGCUUAUGGGAGUCAAUUGACACUAAUUUGGAAAUCGCAAGACAAGUAAUUUUCAAUUUGCGUAGGAGUAAUUUACAACUUCAUUAGUGUGUUCAUUGCUAAUAUUUUUUGUUGGUCAAAGUAUUUAUAUAGCAGCCUAACCUUGUGUUUCUAAUAUGGUGCAGAUAACCUUGCAUGCCUUCUAUUCAAGAAGCUUCAAGCUAGAAGGAUGCAAAUAAGCUUGCAUACCUUCUGUUCCAGAAGCUUCAAGCUAGAAAGAUGCAGGGAUAGAUGCAUGCAUGAAUAUUUAUUUGCUUUAUUUUGUUCCUGGAAUGAGUGCAGUUAAAUUUUAUUCAUAUAUGUAUGUGGAGAUAUCUAGGAGUAAUUAUUUGUUGAUUGUAUAAAUAUUACUUGUCAGUACAUUUGAAAUUACUUUUUGUUUCACAUAGAAAAUUACUCCUUUGCUUACAAA